rnacentral:rRNA from 1 species
UACGGAGGGUGCAAGCGUUAUCCGGAUUCACUGGGUUUAAAGGGUGCGUAGGUGGAUCUGUAAGUCAGUGGUGAAAUCUCCAAGCUUAACUUGGAACUGCCGUUGAUACUAUAGAUCUUGAAUGCUGUGGAGGUGAGCGGAAUAUGUCAUGUAGCGGUGAAAUGACUUAGAUAAUGACAUAGAACACCAAAUUGCGAAGGCAGCUCACUACCCAGAC